rnacentral:rRNA from 1 species
AUUGAACGCUGGCGGCAUGCCUUACACAUGCAAGUCGAACGGCAGCACGGGGGCAACCCUGGUGGCGAGUGGCGAACGGGUGAGUAAUGCAUCGGAACGUGCCCAGUAGUGGGGGAUAACCCGGCGAAAGCCGGGCUAAUACCGCAUACGACCUAAGGGUGAAAGCGGGGGACCGUAAGGCCUCGCGCUAUUGGAGCGGCCGAUGUCUGAUUAGCUAGUUGGCGGGGUAAAAGCCCACCAAGGCGACGAUCAGUAGCUGGUCUGAGAGGACGACCAGCCACACUGGGACUGAGACACGGCCCAGACUCCUACGGGAGGCAGCAGUGGGGAAUUUUGGACAAUGGGCGCAAGCCUGAUCCAGCCAUGCCGCGUGCGGGAAGAAGGCCUUCGGGUUGUAAACCGCUUUUGGCAGGAACGAAACGGCGCAAGCCAAUACCUUGCGCUAAUGACGGUACCUGCAGAAUAAGCACCGGCUAACUACGUGCCAGCAGCCGCCGUAAUAC